AACGAACGCUGGCGGCAGGCUUAACACAUGCAAGUCGAGCGCCCCGCAAGGGGAGCGGCAGACGGGUGAGUAACGCGUGGGAAUUUACCCAGUGGUACGGAACAACCCAGGGAAACUUGGGCUAAUACCGUAUAAGUCCUUCGGGAGAAAGAUUUAUCGCCAUUGGAUGAGCCCGCGUCGGAUUAGCUAGUUGGUGGGGUAACGGCCUACCAAGGCGACGAUCCGUAGCUGGUCUGAGAGGAUGAUCAGCCACACUGGGACUGAGACACGGCCCAGACUCCUACGGGAGGCAGCAGUGGGGAAUAUUGGACAAUGGGCGCAAGCCUGAUCCAGCCAUGCCGCGAGAGUGAUGAAGGCCUUAGGGUUGUAAAGCUCUUUCGGCGGGGAAGAUAAUGACGGUACCCGCAGAAGAAGCCCCGGCUAACUUCGUGCCAGCCGCCGCCGUAAAAC
rnacentral:rRNA from 1 species